rnacentral:rRNA from 1 species
AGAGUUUGAUCCUGGCUCAGGAUGAACGCUAGCGGCAGGCCUAAUACAUGCAAGUCGAACGGGUGGUAGCAAUACCACUAGUGGCGCACGGGUGCGUAACGCGUAACCAACCUACCUACAACUGGGGGAUAGCCCGCCGAAAGGCGGAUUAAUACCGCAUAUACCGGCAGCCUGGCAUCAGGGAACUGGGAAGGAUUUAUUGGUUGUAGAUGGGGUUGCGUAGCAUUAGCUAGAUGGCGGGGUAACGGCCCACCAUGGCGACGAUGCUUAGGGGACCUGAGAGGGUGAUCCCCCMCACUGGCACUGAGAUACGGGCCAGACUCCUACGGGAGGCAGCAGUAGGGAAUAUUGGSCAAUGGGSGRGAGCCUGACCCAGCCAUGCCGCGUGCCGGAUGAAGGCCUUCUGGGUUGUAAACGGCUUUUCUCAGGGAAGAAAAAGCCCAUGCGUGGGACACUGACGGUACCUGAGGAAUAAGCACCGGCUAACUCCGUGCCAGCAGCCGCGGUAAUAC